AUACGUAGGGGGCGAGCGUUGUCCGGAAUGAUUGGGCGUAAAGGGCGCGUAGGCGGCGCGGUAAGUCUGGAGUGAAAGUCCUGCUUUCAAGGUGGGAAUUGCUUUGGAUACUGCCGCGCUUGAGUGCAGGAGAGGUUAUCGGAAUUCCCGGUGUAGCGGUGAAAUGCGUAGAGAUCGGGAGGAACACCAGUGGCGAAGGCGGGUAACUGGACUGCAACUGACGCUGAGGCGCGAAAGUGUGGGGAGCAAACAGGAUUAGAUACCCUGGUAGUCCACACUGUAAACGAUGAAUGCUAGGUGUAAGAGGUAUCGACCCCUUUUGUGCCGGAGUCAACACAAUAAGCAUUCCGCCUGGGAAGUACGGCCGCAAGGUUGAAACUCAAAUGAAUUGACGGGG
rnacentral:rRNA from 1 species